UCCAAUAUUAGUCAUACGUAGGUAUUAUCAGACACAGAAUUGCAGACUAGAACACAGAAUCUACUGUGCGUUUGUGGCAGCUCUCAGCCUAAUCUGUGAUACGUGCAGUUGUGACCUUAUUUCUGCAGCAUGAAGACCACCAUAGUGAUCGCACUUGCUGUCCUGGCUCUAUUUCAGAUAGUUUGCGCACAAAACAAUAAUACGACGGUGGCAUCUACUAUGGCGCCAGAGACCACCACUGGACCGGCCAGCGCAGCGACACCUGCGGCUGUAAUUUCACUACUUGCCGCAUUUCUCAUUCCCGCUCUUACGGCCCUAGUCCAUUGAAUAGUCGGGCCGUAACGGUGACUUUCUGAAGUAGAUCACACACACACACACACACGGAUUUUACUUUCUAUCUCUACUGACUGACACAGCGUCUCCUGUCACGCGUUGAAUGACGUUGACAUUCCAAAUGCAGUUGGCAGAGUGCUUGUAUUUUCUAUUUCACACUGUGAGGUUUGUUAGAUUACGGAUGCCUCUUUUGACUGCUUUAGUUAGCCGGUUGAUGAUGUCCGUGAAUGGGUACAGAUUUUGAGGGGAGACUUUUCCCCAAUGAUGCAUCUACACUUUGUGGACGGAAAUAGCCUUGCUGAUCAUGGAAAUGUUAGCUUAUAACUUCGUGCUGCACGUACGUGUUUUUUAGUGAAAUGAAAACAAAGUGAAAUACACUAUUUGUAGUAAUUGUUGGUAUUAAAAUGGUUUAGUUGAGUCUCAGCACAACUAAUGCAUUUUGGAUUGUGAUUUUCAGUGAUUGACACAGACACUUAGGAAAAUAAAGAAUGUUCAAAAGAAAGAUAUAUAUAUUUACAGUAUGAUUGAAAAUAUACUUAAUUUCAUUCCACAAUAUUCGGACAUCUUUUCUUAUAACUGUUUUGUAGGCCAUUAAAUAUCUCUGUAAAAUUUUAAGAUCUGAAUAAAUCGUAGUUUUGUUGUA